CCGAGAGGCACCGCGCGCGCCCGCCGCUAUUCUCUGCACUCGCGAAACUUGUUUCACCCAACUAACAAUCUAGUGCACAUGACAAUAUAACUUUUAUAUAUUACCCAAGCGAUAUUCACGGGCACUGUCUCACAGCGGUGCUGCUGAUGAAGCAGCUGACUUAGACUUUGUUUAAGUUCGUAGCCGUCGUAUUAUUCCGAAAUCGGCAGACCUAGCGACUGAAAUAAAUAGUGUGAUAAAUUGAUAUGAUUUGUGACAGCAAAUUAGUGGUUAUCGAAUAAAUUGGGUGGUGGUAACGUCACGUCUACGUCAUGGUACGAGAUUGGAGCAUUGUCUAUCGGUCGAUUGGUUCAACAUAAUGAAGUUUUGCUUGCAACACAAAGGAUUAGUCGAAAAUCGAGGAAAUAACGAAGAGUACGAGCAUCGAAAUGCCACCUAAGCCUCGUACGGGACUGGUAGGUGCUCUGCAGAGGCUUUCGCGGCCCCUUCUGUGACUAGCCAGGCUUCGAGCUCAAGGCACGGGUG